CCCUGACUCCACGGUGUUCUCCUGUGUGGUGACUAUGCUGUGCUCGGUUCAGGAGCAGGGAGACUCGGCCCUGCCUCCCUGUGUGCUCAGGUCUGCCCUCUACCUGCUGUCUGUCACACAGGACAAGAGUCCCGACCUGGACUGGAGCUGGCCGAGCAUUUUGGGCCCCGGGUCCUGGAGCUGUGGUUGUCCCACCGUGCUGAGGCCACACUGCAGUCAGACACAAACAGUAAGAAGACAGAGGGCCCGUCAGAGCAGAACCAGGAUCCAGACAACACAGCCCUGCUGACUCUGCUGGAGAAGAGCCCCACUGUCAUACUGAACUUGCUGGGCAUGGUGUGUACCAGGGAGGCUCCCCUGGCAUAACGUGCUGUAGAGGUGCUGGGGAGUUUCCUGCAGGGCCAGCGGGGCUGUAAGGCCGGCCUGUGUACCCUACUCAGACCCACUCUGCUACAGGUGCUCCAGAGACUGGGCCUGGAGAGCAGCCAGGGGACAGGAGCCGUGGGCUCUCUCCCUCUGGUCCUGAGGUUGCUGUGCCUGAUGCAGACCAGUGGCUCCACUGAGAAUGAGAUGGACGGCAUCCACUUCAAACUGCUCUACCAC